rnacentral:tRNA from 1 species
GGGGAGUUAGCUCAGCGGUAGAGCGCUACAUUCACAUUGUAGAAGUCAGAGGUUCGAAUCCUCUACUCCCCA